UGGGGAAUAUUGCACAAUGGGGGAAACCCUGAUGCAGCGACGCCGCGUGAGCGAAGAAGGUUUUCGAAUCGUAAAGCUCUGUCCUAUGAGAAGAUAAUGACGGUAUCAUAGGAGGAAGCCCCGGCUAAAUACGUGCCAGCAGCCGCGGUAAUACGUAUGGGGCGAGCGUUGUCCGGAAUUAUUGGGCGUAAAGGGUACGUAGGCGGUCUAUUAAGUCAGGUGUGAAAGCGUGAGGCUUAACCUCAUUAAGCACUUGAAACUGAUAGACUUGAGUGAAGGAGAGGAAAGUGGAGUUCCUAGUGUAGCGGUGAAAUGCGUAGAUAUUAGGAGGAAUACCGGUGGCGAAGGCGACUUUCUGGACUUUUACUGACGCUCAGGUACGAAAGCGUGGGGAGCAAACAGG
rnacentral:rRNA from 1 species